rnacentral:rRNA from 1 species
UACGUAGGGGGCAAGCGUUGUCCGGAUUUAUUGGGCGUAAAGAGCGUGUAGGCGGCUUGGUAGGUCCGCUGUGAAAACUCGAGGCUCAACCUCGAGAUGUCGGCGGAAACCACUUGGCUAGAGUCCGGAAGAGGAGAGUGGAAUUCCCGGUGUGAGCGGUGAAAUGCGCAGAUAUCGGGAAGAACACCUAUGGCGAAGGCAGCUCUCUGGGACGGUACUGACGCUGAGACGCGAAAGCGUGGGGAGCGAACAGG